AGCCCCGCUCUCUUCUCCAUCGUCCAUUUUCUUUCAGCCGCCCUACGCGCCUCCCGAUCCGCCGCCACCACCUUCCCACCGCGGAUCCACCGGCCGCGGCCUCCGCUCAGCCCAGGCCUCUCCCUCGGCGGCCGCUUCGGCACCGAGGCCAAGCGCCAGUGCCUAUCGCGCUCCUCAUCCAUCGCCUCCAUCUACUCCGUCUCCUCCCUCGACGGGGAAGCCGACGCCGACCCGUCCCCGGCUGCGUUGCUCCCGCUGCUGCGCACCAGCUCGCUGCUAACCGGCAGGGACGAUGCACCCGAACAAGCCCGAGAUGGGGGCAGCGCGCAGCGGCUGCAGUCCUGUAGCGCGCAGCGGCUGCAGUCCUGCAGCACGCACAGCGCUAGAUCCAUCCACGAAGAACUUCUACGGCAGCACGGCGUGCGCCCGGUACCCAUGCCCACCAUCGCGGCUGAAGCCCGACACAUCGGGUCAAGCAGGGAGGAGGAGGCGGCAGCAGCUUGUGCCGCCGUAGUCUGGGAGCUCGGCGUCGCUCGGCCACUCGAGUCGAGCGUGGUGUGGUGGUCAGCUCCAGGUUUGCGUCCAUGGGAGCUGCUGCUGCGCUGCACGGCACUGCUGUCAAUCCCUUGCAUCAAUUGUUGUAUUUGGACUCAGAUAAGUUCACUAAUCAACCCCAAGUCCUUGUUCUUCCCAGUUUUCAGUAUCUACCAUUGCUCUGUUGUGCUUCAGUUUUUGAUGCUUUACUAAAAUUUAGGGUUCCAUACUUGAAUUGAUGUGUGGUAUAGCUAAUCUGGUGCAUUUAUUUUGUGGAUCAAUUCCCUUGAUUACUUGCUGGUAGAGUUACUGCAUACGGAAAAAAGAACUUCCUCUGGUCAUGAAAGUUUUCUCAAUCAGUUUUCCUGAAAUGAAGCCCCACCAACCAAUUUGUUAAUUGAUUUGCUGUCGGAACCCAUCCAAUACUGACUCUCGAUGUAUGAAACAGUUGGAUUCCUGAAUAAUUAUGCUGAACUAAAUUUCUUUGAUUUAUUUCCAAUGGUUACUUUGUCAGUUGUGACACGAGAAGCCAGUUCAUGAAUCUGCGCUUGCCGUGCUUUAAAUACCUGUGUUGGUGAAUCUGUGCUUGCCGUGCUUUAAAUACCUGUGUUGGUGUAGUGAAUAAUUAGCACCUGUUUUAGGACAUUUCGUUACGACUAGCACCUGUUGGAGGGCAAUUAUCUUGCUAUCCUCUUUCAUUUCCAUUGAGAGGUGAUUCAGCUCUAUGAACCCCUUUUCAAUCCUUGAUUCUUCCCAAGAGCUAAAUUGAUAGGUCAAAUAUCUUAAUUUUUAUAAUGCAGUCUGGUGGAGAGACCAAGUCCAUAAAUUAUCUCUGAGAGCUGCUUUUCUUCCCCGUUCAUCUCCAGCUCUUCCACUGAGAAUUGUCUUAUAGAAAGUACAUAUAAAGGGAAGGGGCAAAAUAUGACAGAGCUUAUGACUUAUGUAGUAGAAUAAUCGAAAUCAUGGUCCUUGCUUCUAAGCCAUCUCUAGGUAUUAAUCCAAUGCUAAAUUUAAAACUUUGAUUGAAGUCCUCAGUCUAAUUAUUUAAUUUCACUCUACUAAAACAUUUAUUAAAAUGUUUUGUUUAGGGAAUACGUUUUAUUUUCUUCUGUUAUGGCAACUCUUGGCAUUCAUAUCAUUGGUGUCUGAUAAUACUGGGAGAAAACAACUGCAAAAGACCAUCAAGGAUUCACCAGCAAAGCUCAGCAAGCUUAUUGACUCGAAAAUGAUGAUGCCAGCAUAGUAGUGAAAGCAGGAGAUGCUGUACUGUUGAAGUCCUAAACUAUUUCUUGGAGUCUUACCAUCUCCAAUUCCAAUUAUUUCUAAUUUUCUAAACUCCUUGGCAGAAUGAUGCUCAUCUGCCUUGUCCUCUUCCCUUCCCUCACUGCAAAUUCAUGGGAUUUGCAUCAGAAUAUUUUUAGUAGUCAAUCAAACCUUUUCCUGAGAGUUCAUGUUCUUAUCAUUACUAUUUGUUGUAGGUCAUGCCAUCCUUUUCGAGCAUUAGGGUUGAAGGCUUGAAGCUGGACGAUUGCAAAUUGAGCAGAAGUGUCAGGAAAGCGUGGAUAGCCAAAAUAUUUAGAGAAAGCUUUAUGUCUAUAUGCUGGUGAUGGACAGCUAGAAGAAUGAAGAAUUACAGAAAGGUUUAUUGGUGACUGCUGGUGCUGAUGGGGGCAUUAAUAGAUCAAUAAGAUAACUCAUUUAGUUUUAUUUUAUUAUGCCAAACAUAGUUGCAAACUUGUAUUCAGAGAUAGUGUUUUUAUUCCGCUGUAGUCAUGUUUAUUUUAGCACUACUCUUGUUAUUGUGUUAUUACUUUGGUUGAGGCAUGUAUUUGAAGUUAAAGGUUUGAGUUCUUAUA